GUGCCAGCCGCCGCGGUAAUACGGAGGGUGCAAGCGUUAUCCGGAUUCACUGGGUUUAAAGGGUGCGUAGGUGGGCUAGUAAGUCCGUGGUGAAAUCCCCGAGCUUAACUUGGGAACUGCCAUUGAUACUAUUAGUCUUGAAUAUCGUGGAGGUAAGCGGAAUAUGUCAUGUAGCGGUGAAAUGCUUAGAUAUGACAUAGAACACCAAUUGCGAAGGCAGCUUGCUACACGGUCAUUGACACUGAGGCACGAAAGCGUGGGGAGCAAACAGGAUUAGAUACCCUGGUAGUCCACGCCCUAAACUAUGGAUACUCGACAUCAGCGAUACACAGUUGGUGUCUGAGCGAAAGCAUUAAGUAUCCCACCUGGGAAGUACGAUCGCAAGAUUGAA
rnacentral:rRNA from 1 species